rnacentral:rRNA from 1 species
UCGAGCGGAUGAGGGAGCUUGCUCCUGGAUUCAGCGGCGGACGGGUGAGUAAUGCCUAGGAAUCUGCCUGGUAGUGGGGGAUAACGUUCCGAAAGGAACGCUAAUACCGCGUACGUCCUACGGGAGAAAGCAGGGGACCUUCGGGCCUUGCGCUAUCAGAUGAGCCUAGGUCGGAUUAGCUAGUUGGUGAGGUAAUGGCUCACCAAGGCGACGAUCCGUAACUGGUCUGAGAGGAUGAUCAGUCACACUGGAACUGAGACACGGUCCAGACUCCUACGGGAGGCAGCAGUGGGGAAUAUUGGACAAUGGGCGAAAGCCUGAUCCAGCCAUGCCGCGUGUGUGAAGAAGGUCUUCGGAUUGUAAAGCACUUUAAGUUGGGAGGAAGGGCUGUAGGCUAAUAUCCUGCGGUUUUGACGUUACCAACAGAAUAAGCACCGGCUAUCUUCGUGCCAGCAGCCGCGGUAAUACGAAGGGUGCAAGCGUUAAUCGGAAUUACUGGGCGUAAAGCGCGCGUAGGUGGUUCGAUAUGUUGUGAUGUGAAAGCCC